rnacentral:misc_RNA from 1 species
GAUGAAGAACGUAGCGAAAUGCGAUAAGUAAUGUGAAUUGCAGAAUUCAGUGAAUCAUCGAAUCUUUGAACGCACAUUGCGCCCGCCAGUAUUCUGGCGGGCAUGCCUGUUCGAGCGUCAUUACAACCCUCAAGCCCCCCGGCUUGGUGUUGGGGCCUGCUGCACUGGCAGCCCUUAAAAUCAGUGGCGGCGCCAUCUGGCUCUAAGCGUAGUAAUUCUUCUCGCUAUGGAGUCCUGGUGGAUGCUUGCCAUCAACCCCCAAUUUUUCUAUGGUUGACCUCGGAUCAGGUAGGGAUACCCGCUGAACUUAAGCAUAUCAAUAAGCGGAGGA